rnacentral:rRNA from 1 species
CCUACGGGGGGCAGCAGUGAGGAAUAUUGGUCAAUGGACGAGAGUCUGAACCAGCCAAGUAGCGUGAAGGAUGACUGCCCUAUGGGUUGUAAACUUCUUUUGCCGGGGAGCAAGGGCGGGGACGUGUCCCGGCCCGGAGAGUACCCGGAGAAAAAGCAUCGGCUAACUCCGUGCCAGCAGCCGCGGUAAUACGGAGGAUGCGAGCGUUAUCCGGAUUUAUUGGGUUUAAAGGGUGCGUAGGCGGGCUUUUAAGUCAGCGGUAAAAAUUCGGGGCUCAACCCCGUCCGGCCGUUGAAACUGGGGGCCUUGAGUGGGCGAGAAGAAGGCGGAAUGCGUGGUGUAGCGGUGAAAUGCAUAGAUAUCACGCAGAACCCCGAUUGCGAAGGCAGCCUUCCGGCGCCCUACUGACGCUGAGGCACGAAAGUGCGGGGAUCGAACAGGAUUAGAUACCCGAGUAGUC